ensembl:lncRNA
AAACUGCCGAAUCCCGCUCGUUCAUUUUGAACGGCAACAUUUGCUGUUAGCCAGAUUUUUUUAACGCCAUUUGCUCAGCAUGUAUCGUUUUACAACAUCAUGCAUAAAAUAUUAAGAACACUUCGUUAGCUUGACAUUAAUACAGCAACAGGUGUACAUGUCUUACCUGAACGAGGUGCAGAAGCCUCUUCCUCCCAGUUUAGCCAAGUUAACUUCUCCUCGCUAGCUAGGUUAGCGAGCUAAUUGGCUAGCAUAAACAACGCAGGCCGACCAACUCCCGACAGGACAAAAACAUAAAAACAGAGCUCCCGAGGGCAAAUUAUCCGUGGGAAGCGGUUAAACCACCGAAGCUGCAACGGGGAAAGUCGUGGCUUAAAGUCUAACAGAAUGAAAUCAUCAUCCUUAGAAGACGGAGAAGACGCGUCUCUCUCCUCGCCCGAACAAACUCAAAGUCAACUCCCCAACACCGCCCCUCAGCUCAUCAGCUCACACCCUGUCCAGUCAUGAUAAAACAACAGUCAAAAGCACAUGGAUAUUACAGCCAGCUGUUUUGGAUCUCUACUCUCCAGGGUUGUAUAUCUCCAGGACUGGGUCCUGCAAUAAACCAAACAGUGCCUGUAUGUACUAUGUGUGUAAACUUUAGUAGUUUUAAUUAAAUCAUAGCUUCAUUAAUAGCUUUUUUGAUUGUCUGAAAAUGAUUCACAGUUGGCUAGUGUCCUGACUGGACUCGACUCUAAUAUGACAAACAUGAUAUAAAUCAAUUGGUGCUCUCUAAGAUUAAGUCUUUAUAUUACUACAGUCUAUUUUUAUAGAGCAAGGCCUAUUGAUUCAGUCUUCCUCAAGGAAACCUUGUUCUUACGCACCUUAGAGCAGGGGUCACCAACAUGGUCUGUCAAUUUGUCGUUCCUUUUGGUUUAUGUGUGUAUAAAAACAUGACAUGUCAAAAUGAAAGAAGCACAGAGCAAGAACACCAAUCAGGGCCCAGCACACACUUUG